AAGACAUAUGUAUAUAAAUAAUUAGUGAUUAUAACACUAAUUAUACAAGUAAUAACAUUUAAGCGCGAGGACAACACUUUUGGUCAAGUGCUAGGAGGCUAAUGGGUUGCAACAAAGGAGUGCAAUGCCCCUAAUGGAAGUUUAAGGUCAAAAGACCAUAAUCAUUAGAGUUUACGGCCCAGGGGAGUAAGCUCCUGGCCGUAAACUCUCAAACAAGCCAUGAAAUGGAGUUUAGAAGUACUACAACUUUAGAGGGGAAUUGUUUCAAGGCUAGGCAAGAGUUUAAGGCACCAUAUUGACUCCUAAGGGGAGUUUACGGCCCAAAGACCCUUUUCCCUUGGAGUUUACGGCCGUAAACUCCCUUGGGAGGGUUCUUAUUGUCUUUUCAAGUGUCUAACAAUUCUAGGAACAAGUCUAGGCUUCAAUACUUGGAUUAAGGGAGGUUUAAGGCACUAAAUGGGACCAUUUGAUGGAGUUUACGGCCAUAGAACUCUUUGGGACGUAAACUCCCUCACACAUGAGGUCCUAAGAAUUUUAACUAGUCCAUAUCACAUCUAGGUACUUGCCCUAAAAGUUUCUUGGCCUAAGGAAGUGUCAAGGGUGCCCUUUGACCCCAUUAAAAGAGUUUACGGCCCAAGAAAUACUCGUUUCUUGGCCUAAGGAAGUGUCAAGGGUGCCCUUUGACCCCAUUAAAAGAGUUUACGGCCCAAGAAAUACUCUUGGCCGUAAACUCUCCAACACUUAAGCUUUUCAUGUGUUAUCUAGGUCCUAAACACAUUAAGGUACAUGCCAAAAAUGAAUACUAAGCCUUAGGAAGAGUUUGAAGGCAUUUUGGAACCUAAAACUUGGAGUUUACGGCCCAAGGAGUUUCUUGGCCGUAAACUCCCUUAUAGAAAUGAUUUCUAAGGGUUUUGAUGGC
rnacentral:lncRNA from 1 species